UUGAGCCGUAUGAUGCGAAAGUAUCACGUACGGUUCUUAGAGGGGAAAGCCCCAGCAAUGGGGCUGACCUACUCGAC
rfam:Prevotella pleuritidis F0068 contig00031, whole genome shotgun sequence.